AGCAGCCGCGGUAAUUCCAGCUCCAAUAGCGUAUAUUAAAGUUGUUGCAGUUAAAAAGCUCGUAGUUGAAUUUCGGGAUCAAUUAAUUGGUCGUGCCUCUGGUACGUACUGGUUUUAUUGGUUUCUCCCUUCUGACGAACCAUGAUGUCAUUAAUUUGGUGUCGUGGAGAAUCAGGACUGUUACUUUGAAAAAAUUAGAGUGUUUAAAGCAAGCUAACGCUUGAAUACAUUAGCAUGGAAUAAUGAAAUAGGACGUUUGAUCCUAUUUUGUUGGUUUCUAGGAUCGACGUAAUGAUUAAUAGGGAUAGUUGGGGGCAUUAGUAUUCAAUUGUCAGAGGUGAAAUUCUUGGAUUUAUUGAAGACUAACUACUGCGAAAGCAUUUGCCAAGGAUGUUUUCAUUAAUCAAGAACGAAAGUUAGGGGAUCGAAGACGAUCAGAUACCGUCGUAGUCUUAACCAUAAACUAUGCCGAC
rnacentral:misc_RNA from 1 species